CUCUCUCUCUCUCUCUCUCUCAUCUCACAAAUUUUCUCUCAACUUUCUCAAUUUCCACACCCAAACUGUCAUCUCAAAUAAGAACUUACAAAACCCACCCUAAUAACUAUUCUAGUUGGCAAAAAGGAAGAACAAGGUGCCACCAUUGCUGACCAACAAGGGAGGAGGAAGAAGGGAGGACCACCGUCAAUGAAGGGAAGGAGGAAGACAGCAACGCGCCAAAGGGAAGAAGAAAAAUGAAAGGAAAAUAAAAGAAAGGAGGAAAGGAAAAGGAAAAGUGAAAGAAAAAGAAGGAAAAGGAAGGGAAAAAGAAAGGAAAAAAAGAAAAGGAAGGGGAAAGAGUUAGGUGCUAGCCAUUGUCCAAAUGCACUUCUAUAAUAGCCAUGAAAAGAGGUAAGAGAGUUAUAAUCUACCUCAAAACAAGCGGGCAGUCAUGGUACAUUGCCCCCAGUACACAUGGAUAGCUGCCUUUCAGAAUAAUUGAGUAGCAGCAGCCUUCAUAGGAUGCAAAGAAAGCAGAAAAACUCACCAUAUUAAUCAUGCCAUAGCAGCUUAAGUUCAAAAUUUACCUGCAACUUCUAUAGGUGAGCCCUUUGCUGUCAAUGAUGCAUUGCUACAAAGAAUACCUUGUAUAUGAUGGAAGUGACUAUUACUUUGACUAGAUUAUGCUAGACCAUGGCUCUUGACAUUUCUCUGAAAAAAAUACAGCAGCUUCUCAAAUUUAUGUG